rnacentral:rRNA from 1 species
AUUGAACGCUGGCGGCAUGCUUUACACAUGCAAGUCGAACGGUAACAGGGUGCUUGCACCGCUGACGAGUGGCGAACGGGUGAGUAAUGCGUCGGAACGUGCCGAGUAGUGGGGGAUAACGCAGCGAAAGUUGUGCUAAUACCGCAUACGUACUGAGGUAGAAAGUGGGGGACCUUCGGGCCUCACGCUAUUCGAGCGGCCGACGUCUGAUUAGCUAGUAGGUGAGGUAAAGGCUCACCUAGGCGACGAUCAGUAGCGGGUCUGAGAGGAUGAUCCGCGACACUGGGACUGAGACACGGCCCAGACUCCAACGGGAGGCAGCAGUGGGGAAUUUUGGACAAUGGGCGAAAGCCUGAUCCAGCCAUGCCGCGUGUCUGAAGAAGGCCUUCGGGUUGUAAAGGACUUUUGUCGGGGAGGAAAUCCCCAGCGUUAAUACCGCUGGGGGAUGACAGUACCUGAAGAAUAAGCACCGGCUAACUACGUGCCAGCAGCCGCCGUAAAAC